rnacentral:tRNA from 1 species
UCCUGAGUGGCUCAGAGAGUAAAGAAUCUGCCUGCAAUGCAGGAGACACAGAUUCGACCCCUGGUUCAGGAA